rnacentral:lncRNA from 1 species
CCUCUAACUAUAAGGUGACCAGACGCGCUAAUACAUGCUUUGGGAAGGGCAUUUUCCAGGUGAAACGUAUGGUAUCUUCAUUCACCAGAUUACUUCUGGAGUGGAAAUAGGUGAUACCGUGCCUCUUUCUUCAUCACCUAUGCAUCUAAUCCAGCAAUAAUCAAACAUUCCGCACCUUAAUUAUUUAUUCAUUCACAGACUCUAUAUCCUAGGUCACCUAUAAUUCAAGUAAAUGAUCACGAUAGCCAUUACACCGCCUCUAUGAGGAAGUGUCCUCCAAGACAGAGUUCUCCCUCAAAGAGGUUCUCUUAGAUGUAACCUACCUCUUAUACUUCACAUGAACCACCCGACUUCCAACUGCCAGCAGAGUAGCCAACCUCCCUUUGCUUUACAAUUUUACCUAGAAUUGUGUCAUAUUAUCCACAUUUUCUCUCUCAAUGAUCCCAACCAAUUUCCUUAUCUGCUCUUCUUUCUACUUCCUAAGAUACUUUCAGGAUUCACAUCGCAUGCCUGUCAGUCAACAUCUCCAUUAGAGGUUCUAAUGAAAAGUAUUCUAAAUAUGUUCUUCAUUCAUUAGAGCCUAAUCUUCAAUAGUUUCUCUGUCAUGGUGGUUAUCGCACAAUGCAGCAGUGCAAAAAUUUAUUUGCCAUUGAGUGUUGAACAAUGUUACUUUUGAACUUAUAUAUCAUCUGUAAUAUCUUUCCACGAGCUUCCAACUUCCAUACUCUUUUCAAUUGAUGAAUCAUUCAUCGUGCAGCAGCGGCCUAUUAAAAGUUCUUCAGACUCUUUUCCAAAAAGUUCUCAGAUUCAUCAACUUAAAUGCCAGAGAAGGUUUAGGAGGAGCAUGUCUAAUCAGACAAAAUAAAAGUGAAACAUUGCGCAGAACUUAAGGUUUUCAGCCUUCGCAUAGUUCUAGAUUUUUCAACUUUCUCUAGGCCCGGAUACCAUAAAUGAACGCAUAAGGACAAAUAAAAGUUGCCAGUAAUGCGUAAGAAUUCUUUCAGGUAAAAAUAACAUGUAAUCGUUAAUUGUUGUAGGAAGAACUUUACAUUAAAAUUUCUCUACCAUCUUUUCCCAUAUAAAAUGUUGCUGUUCAUUGGAAAAUAAGUCUUGAGAGAGCAUUAAUUUUUUUGGUUAGAUAAUGACCACUGAAAAGCUACAGCAAAAUCACAACUUUUCCUUAUUUACAUACAUGAUCCUAAUUGAAGCUCCGAGCUAAAAAAUAGAAUUGGCAUUUGGCUGGUAUCAUUAAUAAGUCAUUUCGAUGCAUAUAGUCAUUUAAUUUAAAACAGUUCAUUAUAUAUAUAACUUUGCCACGUUCUCCCCUUUUCUGAAACGACUGUAUCAGACAGUUUAGAGAAUCCAUCAAAUACAUAUUAGUUAUCAUGGUCGUCAUCAGAAUCAACCUAUACUUUUGCCGUCAAAAGGCCAAAUUAAAAAUAAUUAGAUGCUAUAACCUAAGUAUCGGACUAAAAUCUUUCGGACACCUUGACUUCGCAAUACCAUUCUACAGUAAACAUGGUUUUCGAAUGUUUUGCAUAAUUCGUGUAAGAAAGAACGUUUUAUCCAGGUGAUCAAGAAAGCAAACAUCUCAAAAAACGAAAGUAAAUAGGAAUAGACGAUUGCAUUACACCUAGGUAAAAGGAGAUAAAAGGAGUACUUUCACUAAAAACUCCAAAAUAAUUUAAUCAUGUUGUGUCAUGUACCCGUGCUCACUAACGUCAUGAGUUGAGGUAACCAACGUGACAAUGAGGUAUAUCGCAUCUGAUAAUCGCGUGACCCAAGGAAAAAAGCGAAGCUUGAUAACCGAUCGUUUUUCCGCCACAAUUAUCAGUGCAAUAACUUUAAUACGUCUGUACUUUGCCUUGUCGUUCUCUUCCGUCGCCAAAUACCGUUUCGGAAAAGUUUAAUCGCCAAAAUCAAUCUUUCUCAUAAGAUUUCCCCGUCAACGACCAUCUCAUUCAAACGACGUGGAGAAAGACAAUAAAACUCGAAGAGGAAAAAGGUAUCAAAGGAACAGAGACGCACACGAUCACGGACAUAAGAAGAAAUCGAACGGGAAAAAACGACCGCUUAUGAAAGAGUAGGAGCGAAAUUCAGCGUUUCCCCUCCACUGAUCACUUCCCUCUCCCUUGCUCUGCCCCUGAAGAACGCCGGGACAAAGGAUCCUCUCCUAUCAGUAACCAAACGCCCUCUUCAGUUUGAGAAAAAAGCAAAAAAAAUCAUAAAGAACAAUUCCCAAACCCCGAUGCCUCGCAUCCAACUAUAUUUUCCUUCCCCCGAUCAAAAACGGCGGGGGAUUUAUCUCAGACCAGUGAAAAUAAUAGAUGCAUGCUCACAUCGAGAGCAAACAGAUGGCAAAACCAAAGAUCGGCACAUCCAAAUCUGCAGCAGAGCGCGGAAUUACCUUUCCACUCCGCUUGUUCCGCCUCCAGCUCUUCUUCAUCCCUCCUCUCACUCCUCCCACCCCCUCGCCCUUCCGCCCCCUAUCGCCACUCCCGCGGGCAGUUUCAUGUCCCAUUUCUUUCCCAUAAAUAGCCACAUUUUCCGGCGUGAAAAAAAAGGGCUCGCACGGAGCGUCUCAGAGGACGUUUUCCAAAACGGAAAGUGCAUAAAUUAUGUGUGAUUUAUCUCGUCAUUUAUGACGUCACUUGAACCCUGCUCACAAUGAUAUAGGGCUGGACCCCGGCUCAGCCCACGGAAAGAAAAUGGCCCUGGCCCACUUAGCCCCAUUGUAAGACGGGUCUGGUCCGUACAUGUUGGGCCCAGUUCACAUGGAUAUAUAUGGGCCCCUUCUGGAAGGAGAGAGUAGAUGAUGACGUCAUAAUUUGUCAACAUAUUCUUAUUCACAGGAAAUGUAGAUAUGUGAUACACCUAUGUUAGCUUAUGCAUUAAUUGAACUUUGGUUGCCAUGCUAGCAUCUCCCAUUUUCUUUGUUUGAGAUUGCUCUCAAAAGUUGGAGUGAGUCUAGUUUUGAGCUUUUAUUCAUAUCACUAAAACUUAUUUUACCAUGAAAAUUUAAAAUAUCCCAUCUAUGUAAAUAUGUUUCUCUAUUUUCAUCUGUACGACCAUUUUUUACUACGACCAAGUUUAUUUCCGAUGGUUUUCGCAUCUGCCCUUGUUGGUGACCAUAGAUACAAUUUCCAUGUGCCAUAAAGUUGUCAAGUUUGUUGGCCUAAGGUGGUAUGCCAACCAUGGAUUGGAAAAGUUUUUCCAAGGCUGUAUAUGAAUUGGGUUAGAUUUCAAUUCAGCUUUAGUUAUUGGUUCAAUACUCCAAUACUCCAACAAGUGAUUUUGUCAUCAUUAAAAUAUGAUGACUUCAAUACUCCAACAAGAAGGCCAUCAUCAAUUCUUGCUCACUAGUUAUUGGUUCAUAUGUGUGACAUCAAAGGCCUAGCCCAUAUAAUUGAUGUAAUUCUAACAUCCUUAAUUGUGACUUCUUCAAUUGACAAUGGAUAGUGGAUAAGGACAUGCAUAAUUUCAACAACCUAGGAUUUCUUUUGAAGGUUUUAAUUGUGUGGCCCUCUUUAUAUUACAAGAUGAGAUCCCUCUAGUGGAUAUGAGUCCACCCCAAGGUAGACAACCAACAUAUCCCUAUGAUGACAUAUCAUUCCCCCAAUGACAGGACGCAAGGUAAUACCUUGAACUUCAAAGGUGACGCCCACUUGGUAAUAAAUUCUUUGAUAAUUUGAGUGCACAUGAAAUUAUGAGUAGCUUCACUGUCUAUUAGGAUGUUGAUUGCUCUGCCCUUCAGCGUAACCUACAACUUUAAUGUUUUGAGUUAGUAUACCCUAAUAAUAGAUUUGAGAGAAACAUAGGUAGUAGUAAAUAACGUACCUUUUUUGUGUUAUUAUAUCAUCAAAAUGUGCCCAAUCUUCCAUGUCUGGCUCCCCUUCUCGUUGAAUUAUUUCGUCUUCAUGGACUAUCAUAAUUUACAAAAAAAAUUUGCAAUAGUAAUCAGACCCAAACUUGUCAUUUCAAUGGAAACACAAUCCGUUCUCUCUCCCUGCAUGUAGUUACAAUUCUAUGAGCAUUAUGUGCAUCUUUGGUCUAAUGGAUUCUAAUUGGGCGGCUGUGGGUGGCUUAUGGAUCUCUAUAGUAUGACCAGUUGCCUUGACUUGCUCAUGAGAGAAAUCUUGGAGCUGGGCUUUGAAGCUGAAAGAAAUCUCUAGUACUGGUUGUAAAGUUGGAACUAGCUCCUAGUACACUCCUGCAACUCAUCCUGCAAGAAGUGUUCCAUGUUGUCCAUAAGGCUGUCAAACAUUUCUCUACAUGGAGACCAGUGUACAUAAUGUCACGUAGUCCUACCAAAUGGUCCCCUAGAUUUCAGAUUAAAUUUCAGGCUUUAAAACUUUGAUGAAAGUCUGCUCCAUAACAAUAUCUUGAAGUGGAGGUAGGUAUACCGAUAACUGCUCAAAUUCUGGUCUAUAUUUACUGACAGUUCCCUCAUACACUAUGUUUAAGAAUUUGUGCAAAAUAUUGUCAAAUAGAGAGUGGCCAGAGCACGUAUCUAUCUGAAUCUUGAAGUUUUGUCAAUCUUUAAAAGAAUAUCGAUCCUCAGUCUAGAUAAAUCAAUGUAACACCAUGCCUUCCAUAUAUGUCAAAACUAAUUUCAACCGCUUUGGAUCCACGAUUUUGUUGAUCCAAAAAUAUCUAUACUUCAGAUCCAACCUUCGACAUCCUCCCCUUUAAAAAUAAGUCACCUUUCUUGAGUGCUUGCUGUUAUCUUGGGGGCUCAUCGUGCCAUAAUAAUAGUUUGAUGCAUAGGGUUGGGGGCCUCUACGCGUCAGCUGGAAGCGGAGGGGCCAGGAUAAGGCACACCGUCAUCAUCAUCAUCAUCCCUACGACUGGCUCUCUUUCCGCAGUCAACCACUGCCUACUCCAGCCACACAGCUUAGUUGUGGAGCGGGUUGGCGCCCUGUGGCGCCCUCCUCGCCGACACCCCAUAUGCCGCGGGCAUCCCACUGCGCUGGCAUGAACGUCUCCCUGCGCCGCCCAGUGCCCUCCAGUCGCCGCCACCUCUCCCACAGUGCCCAAACCAGCGCUCCCCCCACCACCAGCACAAGCACGAAGACCGCCCCCUCCAAUUCAUCACAACUAGAAGACCGCCAGCGAGCGAGAGAGAGCCAGAGAGAGAGAGAGAGAGACCAGCCAAAAGCCCGGCCCCCCGCAAAACCCAUCUUAUUUCCUCUGCAAACAAGAGUGCAACAAAAAAAAAGCCCAGCUGGUGGGUAGGCAUUGACUCGUCGGCUUACAUGCCAGCCGUCGAAAAACUAGCUCACUGCGGUCUCCGGGAUCGUCGGCAGCCCUCGCACCCGCACCAGGCGUCGACUUAUCGGCAGAUCUGGCUGACGCACCAGUCGUCGAAGAGCUUGCCGUGGUCUCCGAGAUCGAGGCAGCUGACCUCGUCCUUGCGCCAGAACCAGUCCUCGUACCUGUACCACCUCAUGCGGCCCUUGUCAACGCUCACCCGCCGGCAGGAGACGCAGAGCGGGUCGAGGCAGUAGGCGAACUCCCUCAGCCGCGCGGCCUUUCCGAGAAUGGCGGCGUCCAGCUCCCUGAUGAUCCUCUUGGAGCUGGAAGCCGGGCCCUCCACUAGGAGGCAGUGGGAGAUGUUCAGCACCUCCAGGUCCUCCAUCCGGUCGAGGAUGAACAGCAGCGCCUCCCUGGACAGCCUGGAGCAGCGCACGCUCAGCGCCUUCAGCCUGGGGAGGUUGGAGUGGAUGCAGGUGGCGAAGUUGACGUCGAAGGAGCCCAUGAUCUUCAGCUGGCUGAAGUUCUUGCAGCUCCGGCUGAUCUCCUCCAUGAUAUACGGAGGUUGCAGGAUGGUGGGCAUCGUCAUCGACUCCAGCUCCUCCCACCUCCUGAUCGCCUGGCAGAUCCCCGUCUUCGUGAUCCGAUUCCAUGCCGGCAGCACCAGCCGCUUCAGAUGCGGGCACCUGAAGAUGAACCAAAAAAAGAAAAAAAGAAAAAGAAAGAAAGAUAAAGAAGAAGAAAGAGCUGCGAUUAUUUAUACCUCUCGGCGAUGUAGUUCAAAUGCUCGUCUUUCAUGUAGAGGUUGAAGUGGAAGAUCAUGCAGGAGAUGUUCCCAUGGCUGAGGGUCAUGGCGAUCUUCAGCACCCCGGUCAACCUCCGGUCCGACCGGUUGUCAACCCAGACGUAGGGCGAAGCCCGGGUGGGGAUGAAGUUUGACUUCAUCCGCCCCAGGUCGAGGACUCCCCAGAGCAGGGGAUCUGCGCAGGCCAGCCGCCAGGAGCGGCAGACCUGCGACACCGACGCCAUCUCGAUUAUGUUGAGCUCCUUGAAGAUCUUCACCAGGGCGCCCAUCUCCAUGUCCUCCCACCUUCUAGAUGUCAGCCUGAUAUCGGCCAUCCUUGCUGGCCCUACAACUAUGCGCCAAAAAUCACAGAGCAUUGCACCCCUCAGAGGUCUGCUGCUAGGAAAAUGGUCGCCACAAAAAUAGAAGAGUGAAAAAUGUAGAGAGAGAAACUGUGACCCAACUGGUGGGGACCACUCGAGAAGGCGAGGGAAUAGGAGAGGCGCUCUUGUCAUAGAGGAAGGAGUUAAAGAAACUACACCCUUCAGAGCAUGGAAUUCCACCAUAAACACAUUGGACAGAAAUGGGUUCCAGAGGUGGUCUGAAAUGCAGGUACUCACGGCAAGAGCUUCGAGGAGGUAUAGAAACUAAAGGACCACGAUCCGGUUUAGAUACAAAUAUGUGAUUCAUCCUGCCCAGAUCACGAGAAUGCAACAUCCCAUCAUCUAGGAAGCAGCUUCUUUCACUCGACGAUCAUGAUUUAUAUAGAAACGAUAUUGCUAUCCGGAUAGAAAAAAGAAAAUCUCCUAUUUGCAUCAGCUGGAAUGAUAGACACCACUCAUUUGGAAAACAGUGAUUAGAAAGUUUAAUUAACUAUUCAGGCAAAAAAAAAAUCUAAUUUGCAUUUCUAGUGACAUCACAGAAUUCAUCAAGACAAAUGAGGAAAGUGUUCCUGAAGACGUGGCUACCUAGAACGCAGGCUAACCUGCUAUUUGAGUUUCUUUUUAAUAAGAACAACGCAGACAAUGGAGGGGAACGAAAAAAAUGAUGAACUGCGCAAAAAAGAGACAUUAUCAAAUUGUCCCUAGUCAAAGAACAGCAAGCAGUAGUUCCGAGGUGCAGUUCUUGCAGCUGUAUUGUCCUGUGACAGUCGUAUCUGGUACGAAUUAAUAGGAUGCAGAAGAUUUACUGGCGUAACAUACUAAAGAGGGCAAAGAAAACGAAAUGCAGUAUCCUAAGCAAUUUCUCCAAAAUAAUAUUCCCCAAGAAAUAUUAGCAUCCAAAGAUAACAUCACACAUGAAACCCGCCCAUCCCCACAAAGAACAAAUAUAAAUCUCCAUCUACCUCUAACUACAAGGUGCCCAGACACGCUAAUACAUGCUUUGGGACGGGCAUUUUCUCUCUCAAUGAUCCCAACCAAUUUCCUUUUUUGCACUUCUUUCUACUUCCUAAGAUACUUUCAGGAUUCACAUCGCAUGCCUGUCAGUCAACAUCUCCAUUAGAGGUUCUAAUGAAAAGUACUCUAAAUCUGUUCGUCAUUCAUUAGAGCCUAAUCUUCAAUAGUUUCUCUGUCAUGGUGGUUACCGCACAAUGCAGCAGUGCAAAAAUUUAUUUGCCAUUGAGUGUUGAAAAAUGUUACUUUUGAACUUAUAUAUCAUCUGUAAUAUCUUUCCACGAGCUUCCAACUUCCAUACUCUUUUCAAUUGAUGAAUCAUUCAUCGUGCAGCAGCGGCCUAUUAAAAGUUCUUCAGACUCUUUUCCAAAAAGUUCUCAGAUUCAUCAACUUAAAUGCCAGAGAAGGUUUAGGAGGAGCAUGUCUAAUCAGACAAAAUAAAAGUGAAACAUUGCGCAGAACUUAAGGUUUUCAGCCUUCGCAUAGUUCUAGAUUUUUCAACUUUCUCUAGGCCCGGAUACCAUAAAUGGACGCAUAAGGACAAAUAAAAGUUGCCAGUAAUGCGUAAGAAUUCUUUCAGGUAAAAAUAACAUGUGAUUGUUAAUUGUUGUAGGAAUAAAUUUACAAUAAAGUCUCUCUACCAUCUUUUCCCAUAUAAAAUGUUGCUGUUCAUUGGAAAAUAAGUCUUGAGAGAGCAUUAAUUUUUUUGGUUAGAUAAUGACCACUGAAAAGCUACAGCAAAAUCACAACUUUUCCUUAUUUACAUACAUGAUCCUAAUUGAAGCUCCGAGCUAAAAAAUAGAAUUGGCAUUUGGCUGGUAUCA